GACGAACGCUGGCGGCGUGCUUAACACAUGCAAGUCGAACGGAAAGGCCCUGCUUUUGUGGGGUGCUCGAGUGGCGAACGGGUGAGUAACACGUGAGUAACCUGCCCUUGACUUUGGGAUAACUUCAGGAAACUGGGGCGAAUACCGGAUAGGAGCUCCUGCUGCAUGGUGGGGGUUGGAAAGUUUCGGCGGUUGGGGAUGGACUCGCGGCUUAUCAGCUUGUUGGUGGGGUAGUGGCUUACCAAGGCUUUGACGGGUAGCCGGCCUGAGAGGGUGACCGGCCACAUUGGGCCUGAGAUACGGCCCAGACUCCUCCGGGCGGCAGCAGUGGGGAAUAUUGCACAAUGGGCGGAAGCCUGAUGCAGCAACGCCGCGUGCGGGAUCACGGCCUUCGGGUUGUACACCGCUUUCGCCUGUGACGAAGCGUGAGUGACGGUAAUGGGUAAAGCAGCACCGGCUAACUACGUG
rnacentral:rRNA from 1 species